CUCUUUUGUCACCCGACGAAUACAACCUCUUCGUCUUCUUCCUUUUUAUUUUCUUCUUUUGAUUGAAACAACCUCCUCUUCUUAUUCAGUUUGGUAAGGAUGAGUUAACAUGGGCAAGAAACACAGAUCUGUUGAUUGAUGAAGAGGGAUUUCAGCAACACAAAGAAUGAUAAGUCUCGAAUUCGUCGCAAUUUGGUGGAGUUUCAAGAUCAGAAAUGGAAUCUAGGGUUGCUGAUGAAUAAAUUAAUGAUUCUGGUGAUGAUAAGAAUCUAAAAAAGGAUGAGUAAGCUUUGGUUUUAGUUUAAUUCGAGAUGGUGUUGAAGGAAGUUGAAUCUGGAGGAAGAAAAAUAGUAGCGGUAGUGGUGAUAGGAGUUUUGUGUUCAAUGACUAUCAACUGGCGGAGCUAUUGGAUGGGUUCAUUCUGUUUCAAGUAACUGGGUUCAUUUUGUUUCUGCAGUAUAUAAUUUUUGCUAAAAGAAUUGAUAGCUUGACUUACGUUUGCAGGUAUAUUGUCCUGGUUCACUACAGAGAUGUCAACCAGGUAUGUUAGUAGGACUUGAUGAUAGUAAUACACGAAACACAUAUCACUCCAAUUUGUUCAGGCUUAAAAUUAAGAUCAAAGUCAGAAAUUGAAAGACAGAAAGUGAAACACUUAUCAGCGGUGGUGGGAUUAAAGAGAUUUUGUUGAACCUUGAUGUCAGAGGCAACGUUGGCGGCAGACAUGGAAACAGAAUUCAUAUGAUUUGGUUGUGAAGAUAAUAAGAACAUAAAUAAUUUGAAUAAUCUAAUGAAGUAGCUGGUUAUUAAUUUCUUUGUUUGUGUUUCUAAUUGUCUUGUAGGUUCCCUUCCAGGUUCCAUUUCCCGAAUCAUAAACAAAGGAAGAACCUUGUGAUUCUCAUUGUUGGAAUCAACUACUUUUACUGCAGUAUUACGAUUUGGAAGCAGCUUCAUAUAUAUAUAUAUAUAUAAUUGUCAUUUGUGUGUGUCUUAUGCUGUUUCAAUAUUAUGAAGUUGAUAAAGCGUUCUUGUUGCCAGACCAAUAGUUGAUAAAGUAUUAUUUAUUUCAAAACAAGAUGCACCCGAGUGCAUAAUGUAUAUUCUGACAAAAAAAUAGGUUUGGGCCGAAAUGCAUCCGAGUGCAUAAUGUAUAUUUUUUUUUCGAAA